AGCAGCCGCGGUAAUUCCAGCUCCAAUAGCGUAUAUUAAAGUUGUUGCAGUUAAAAAGCUCGUAGUUGAAUUUCGGGGUUAGUAGGUUGGUCAUGCCUCUGGUAUGUACUGGUCUCACUGAUUCCUCCUUCCUGAUGAACCUUAAUGCCAUUUAUUUGGUGUUUUGGGGAAUUUGGACUGUUACUUUGAAAAAAUUAGAGUGUUUAAAGCAAGCUAACGCUUGAAUACAUUAGCAUGGAAUAAUGAAAUAGGACGUUCGAUCCUAUUUUGUUGGUUUCUAGGAUUGACGUAAUGAUUAAUAGGGAUAGUUGGGGGCAUUAGUAUUCAAUUGUCAGAGGUGAAAUUCUUGGAUUUAUUGAAGACUAACUACUGCGAAAGCAUUUGCCAAGGAUGUUUUCAUUAAUCAAGAACGAAAGUUAGGGGAUCGAAGACGAUCAGAUACCGUCGUAGUCUUAACCAUAAACUAUGCCGACUAGGGAUCGGAUGAUGUUAAUUUUUUAAUGACUCAUUCGGCGCCUUA
rnacentral:ncRNA from 2 species